GGAGACUCAACAAGAGGAAGGUGAAAUCCCAAUUUCUCCUUAUGCCUCAUUAUCAUCGAGCCUUGAUAAUUUCUUUGUGCCUCGCCCAUUUGUGACUAGUGUGGUCUCGUUGCUAAGUAAGGAUGAGAUUGAAGAGAUAACUAUGGUUUAUAGGAUACCAACCACUUUUAAAGCCUACUCGUGUGGUAGGGACCAAGCGACUAAUGGGUUGGUCUCAAAGAAAAAUUGUUUCAUAGUAUAUGUAGAGCAAUUGCGGUCUGGACUACGCUUCCCACUAGGCCCAUUUAUAGUGGUUGUCCUGAAGCUCUUUCGGGUUAGCAUUGCUUAGAUUCACCUAAACACUUGGUGAGUUCUAGUGUCUUUUCUCUCUUUGUAUUGCAUACAUAACAUAGAGCCUUAAGCCUGAGUUUUUACUUUGAGGUAUGCAUUGUCUCAUAGUGAAGCUGAAACCUUUUACUAUUUCCUCUCAAAGAAGGGGAGUAGCUUGCUUGUUUGACAGCUUUUCUGGGUCGAUAAAAAAAUUGAAAGUUGAUAUUUUUCAUGCUAAGGCAUCUUUCCGGUGGUAGUUGGGAUGGUUUUACUGAGAGUUGAUCCUUUCAAACUUAAUAGUUCAAAAGAAUGCUUCAAAUAAUUGGCUUAAAAGAAUCCUUUCAAACUUAAUAGUUCAAAAGAAUCCUUUCAAACUAUUGGCUUACACAAAGCUCUUGGCUGUUGUUUCAUUGAGGAGGAAGCAACCUUACUAACCAUUGUGCCAAAAAAUGGCCUUUUGAUAAAUUUUAUUGGUUUAUCGUCGAAGGAGACUGAUAAUGUUAUACCUCAACAUCUUUAUUUUUUUGACUUCUUAUCUAACUUAAUAAUUUCUUUUUUUAUUUGUAGAGAUGAUUGGAGAUAAUACAUCAUGGAUUAGGAAGGUGGUUGAAAAGAAGAGGAAAGGGGUUGGUGGAUUAGGAAGGUGGUUGAAAAGAGGAGGAAAGGGGUUGGUCAGGUUAACUACCAAAAGAGGUCGAGGUCCAUUGGAGGGACUUUAAACUCUUUCGUCAUUGCUCCUCAAGAUUCAUAAGAGCAUGCUUCUAUCGAGCUUGCUUCCUUUUCUAUUGAGAUGGGCCUCCUUCCACUGCCUUCUUCCCUUACUUUUGAUGGCCUAUUGAGGGUCACAACACGAUAGCAAGGAACUGCUACUUGGUUGAGCGCAUAACAAAGAAGAUUACUUUGCUUGAUGACUUCUUCUACCAUGGGAUGUCCUUGGGUGUAGAGGCCAUGACUGCAUUUAAGGUGGAAUGAGAGGUUUCCAAAAUUGUGGGGAUCGUUCAAUGAAUUGUAGAUAUAGAACAUCCUUCUUACCACUAAACUAGAGAACCUUCGUAGCAUUAACAAAAAUCUCGAGAUUGAGAUGGAGCAAAUUGAUCUUCAUUCUAAGCGAUUUUAGUAUUGAAUUCAUCUUAUUUUAUUGUUUUAUCUAUUUAUUUGUUCUAUUUUCUCAAAUUUCCUUUUAUAAGGAACUUUGAGAUACUUAGGAGCUCUACAUUUUAGAGGAAAACUAAGCCGGAACUAGAGAAAAUAAUACCCAACAACCCUAUGUAAUUCAACCUAAAUUACAUGGGAUGACCCAUGUAAUUAUAGCAACCCCGUGUAACUAAGAAACAUAUAUUAAAUUCGCUCAGAAGGUUAUGUGGGUCUAUUGGGAUUUACAUGGGCUAGACCCAUGCGAUUAAGACUGACCCGUGUACUGUUGGAAGAAGAAUCAAGAGAAUUCAGUACGUUACACAAGUCUACUGAGAAUUACACAGGUUCAACCCAUGUGAGCUGGGCAACCCGUGUAAAUUUAUAUGGUUUCAACCCAUGUAACGUGCUAGAUCUAUGUAUUUUAAUCCAAUUUACACGGGGUCCUACGAUUUCAAUAGAUUAAACUUGACCUAGCCAAUUUUAUUGCAUCCUAAUUGAACCAAAGGGUUUCUUAAGUUAUCUAGGAUUGAAACAAGAGCCACAAGUGUUAUAAAAGCCAAGGAUUUCAAUCAGAAAAGUAUUGUAAACUUGGAUACCACUAAGGAGAAACUGAACAAAAGGAGAAGAAGCCAUUAGUUCGUGAAGUAGAUUUUGUAGUAAAAAUCUGAGAAGAUCAUGCUGUCAGUUUAAUUGUGGAUCUAUUUGGUUCUAUUUUUCUUAUGUCUUAUUUUCUUAAUUUUAUUGUUCUUACAAUUAUGAACAUGAAUGAGUAAAUUUCUUUAUUCUAGGAUUUGGGAAGUAACACUUGGACUGUAUAGAUAUUUAAUUAGUUUUAUUCAAUAAAUUUGGAAUUAAUUAUUUGAUUCAA
rnacentral:lncRNA from 1 species